rnacentral:rRNA from 1 species
CUUCACGGUCGUCGAUAUCAGAUUAUUGGGCGUAAGGGCAUCGUAGGCGGUUCUGCAAGCUUGAUGUGAAAUCCCCGGGCUCAACCCGGGAACUGCAUUGAAAACUGCAAAACUAGAGUCACUGAAGGGUAACCAGAAUUCCAGGUGUAGGGGUGAAAUCUGUAGAUAUCUGGAAGAAUACCAAUGGCGAAGGCAGGUUACAGGCAGAUGACUGACGCUGAGGUGCGAAGGUGCGGGGAGCGAACAGGAUUAGAUACCCUGGUAGUCCGCACAGUCAACGAUGUACACUAGGUGUCUGCACAAGAGUGUGGGUGCCAAAGCAAACGCGAUAAGUGUACCGCCCGGGGAGUAUGCCCGCAAGGGUGAAACUCAAGAAAAAUUGAACGGGGG